AGACAGCAUGGGAGGUGCAGCCUGCCGCAGGGAAAGGAUGUCCUGAGCACACUCCAUACAGGCUUUGUGGACUCCACCCCCACUCCAGACCAAAGACAUCAGGACACUGAAAAUGACAAAUCCCACCAUCACCAAAAGGAGGGUUGCUGGGACCUGAGGGCGGAGUUAAGCUGUUAGGAACUCCUUGCCGUCUGGGACACAGUACUCCUGGGAAGACACCCAGCGUUAGCUGGUCAGGGGACAUGGAUGAGCGACAGUCAUACAAAUCCACCGAAAAUGCAGUGAAAUUCCUACCCAGCCGGCCUCAGUCAGGACAACCACAGCCUCCUGUGUCAUCCCGUCACACCGGAGAAAAAGUUCAACAAACCCCGUAAAACCACACUCAGGCUUUCUAACAAUUCACGGGAGCGGGAAAUUCUAAAAUUCCACCAACAAUCAACAGAACGUCACAAUCGCACCAGAACAACUGAA